ensembl:lncRNA
AAGUUAAAAAACUAAUUACAUGUAUUGUUUUUUGGGUAUUGUGUAUUUUGUAUCAAAUUACAAUUUUAUGUAUUUUUGCUAGGGCUGUCAACAUAAACGCAUGAAUCUAUGCGAUUUAAUGUGGCCUAAUUAAUGAAACAUAAUACUUCAACGUAGUUAACGAAACGGCCGCUAGCUGGAGUCAGUUACACCAAGAUGGACAAAGCUUUUUGCAUUGGAAGUAAAAUAAAACAGAGGCACGACAUACAGUGGAGAACUGUCCAGAUGACUUACUCCACGUGUCAAACGGUGUGGCAUACGGACAAUUUAAGGAACUGCUAUGCUAAGCUCGCUGCUAGGCUAAGCUAGCGGCAACGCUACUUCCAUCUCAACAUCAAAUGUUACCCUGCGCGGCACAGUCUGCAGAGGACCACCACUGUGUCCCUAAAAGACUGGUUUGAAAACAUUCUGGCUGGAGAGUUGAGAGCAAAGUGCACAAGGACAACAGGAAGAGUUGCUAGUUCAACAUGUUUCACCUGGUGGAAUUGUCACGGUUUGGGUUUAUUUCCUGUUUUACUUUAGUUCUGUGCCUCCUGUGUCCCUGGGGUAACUUCACUUCCUGCCUUGUCCUGUCAUCCCCUGUGAUUGAUUGUUUACACCUGUGUCCAAUCACUUGCACCUUCCCAGUGCAUUUAAGCCAUUGUGCGAUUAGUUAAUUUUUAAUCUAUUGACGGCCCUAAUUUUUAGGAGAAAACCCCACACCAGCUGCAUGGGGGAAUGACUUCAAUCGUCUCAUACGCUGAGCCAGAACACUUUUUGGGGAUUUUUUUUUACUUGGCGUUUCUUUCGCCGUGUGCAGCUAUGUUCAGCAUGGCCAUGGAUGGCUGUGUUCUUGGAACAACAAUUGAAAGGAUAAAGAAUUGUCUUUGUUUAAAGUAAAAAUAAAUUUGCUUUGUUCAUUGCUGCUGCGUUUUCUAACUCACUAAAACUACUAUAACUGUGUAUAUAUAUACAUAAAAUGUACAUAAUAUAAAUAGUAUACAUGGUUUAAAAACUAAAGGAGCAUAACCUAAAAAUAACCUUAAAUAUUUAUUAGGUAUUCUUUGUGUGUGAGGGUUGCUUGGGCAUUUUAAAUGAUUGACUCACUGACUACUAUGUCAAAACAAUAGUUCUUAUUAAAACAAGAUUUAAAACAGUCCUUUAUGACAAUUUUCUAUGUGCAAUAUUUAAUUCCCAUAGUGUCAUAACCAAUCCUAACAUUACCUUGAGCAAUUAAUCUAUUCUACACCUGGUCGGCAGUGGAAAAUUAAUGGAGAAACAGCUGUUAUGCAGGUCUGUGCAGCUGAAAAAUACAAAAUUGGUAUUGUUAUGGACAAGCAGCUUUCCCUCAUCAGGAGUGAGGGCAAUAAUAUAGAGCACUGGUCUCAAACUCAAUUCAGGUGCGGGCCAGAUGCAGCCCCCUUCGACUGAAUGCAGGCCACAACCGGCGAACGGUACGGUCUCGUAUUAUUUUGUCAAACAGCCUAUGUUUAAAAAUAACCCCCAUGUAAACUAACUUUAGUAAGCAGGGAAAAGAAGGAUAAUAAAGCCAUAGUCACACAUGUCAUUAGAGUCACUUUUAUUUAAUCCACAUGGAAAACAUUGUUAUCAGUGUCCUUUCGACUUAUUCUUCCUUAGCACUUGGCCGGCUGUCAUGG